rnacentral:rRNA from 1 species
UACGUAGGUGGCAAGCGUUGUCCGGAAUUAUUGGGCGUAAAGCGCGCGCAGGCGGUCCUUUAAGUCUGGUGUGAAAGCCCACGGCUCAACCGUGGAGGGUCAUUGGAAACUGGGGGACUUGAGUGCAGGAGAGAAGAGUGGAAUUCCAGGUGUAGCGGUGAAAUGCGUAGAUAUCUGGAGGAACACCGGUGGCGAAGGCGGCAUCCUGGACCGGUAUUGACACUGAGGCGCGAAAGCCAGGGGAGCAAACGGG